rnacentral:rRNA from 1 species
GUGUCAGCAGCCGCGGUAAUACGAAGGGGGCUAGCGUUGUUUGGAAUUACUGGGCGUAAAGGGCGCGUAGGCGGUUAAAUAAGUCAGAUGUGAAAGCCCCGGGCUUAACCUGGGAUGGGCAUAUGAUACUGUUUAGCUGGAGGACGAGAGAGGAUAGUGGAAUUGCGAGUGUAGAGGUGAAAUUCGUAGAUAUUCGCAAGAACACCGGUGGCGAAGGCGACUGUCUGGCUCGAUUCUGACGCUGAGGCGCGAGAGCGUGGGGAGCAAACAGGAUUAGAAACCCUGGUAGUCC